rnacentral:rRNA from 1 species
AAAUUGAAGAGUUUGAUCAUGGCUCAGAUUGAACGCUGGCGGCAGGCCUAACACAUGCAAGUCGAACGGUAACAGAAAGCAGCUUGCUGCUUUGCUGACGAGUGGCGGACGGGUGAGUAAUGUCUGGGAAACUGCCUGAUGGAGGGGGAUAACUACUGGAAACGGUAGCUAAUACCGCAUAAUGUCGAAAGACCAAAGAGGGGGACCUUCGGGCCUCUUGCCAUCGGAUGUGCCCAGAUGGGAUUAGCUAGUAGGUGGGGUAA